AAAUUGAAGAGUUUGAUCAUGGCUCAGAUUGAACGCUGGCGGCAGGCCUAACACAUGCAAGUCGAACGGUAACAGGGAGAAGCUUGCUUCUUUGCUGACGAGUGGCGGACGGGUGAGUAAUGUCUGGGAAACUGCCUGAUGGAGGGGGAUAACUACUGGAAACGGUAGCUAAUACCGCAUAACGUCGCAAGACCAAAGAGGGGGACCUUCGGGCCUCUUGCCAUCGGAUGUGCCCAGAUGGGAUUAGCUUGUUGGUGGGGUAACGGCUCACCAAGGCGACGAUCCCUAGCUGGUCUGAGAGGAUGACCAGCCACACUGGAACUGAGACACGGUCCAGACUCCUACGGGAGGCAGCAGUGGGGAAUAUUGCACAAUGGGCG
rnacentral:rRNA from 1 species